rnacentral:rRNA from 1 species
AGUGAACGCUGGCGGUAGGCCUAACACAUGCAAGUCGAACGGCAGCACAGUAAGAGCUUGCUCCUACGGGUGGCGAGUGGCGGACGGGUGAGGAAUACAUCGGAAUCUACUUUUUCGUGGGGGAUAACGUAGGGAAACUUACGCUAAUACCGCAUACGACCUACGGGUGAAAGCAGGGGAUCUUCGGACCUUGCGCGAUUGAAUGAGCCGAUGUCGGAUUAGCUAGUUGGCGGGGUAAAGGCCCACCAAGGCGACGAUCCGUAGCUGGUCUGAGAGGAUGAUCAGCCACACUGGAACUGAGACACGGUCCAGACUCCUACGGGAGGCAGCAGUGGGGAAUAUUGGACAAUGGGCGCAAGCCUGAUCCAGCCAUACCGCGUGGGUGAAGAAGGCCUUCGGGUUGUAAAGCCCUUUUGUUGGGAAAGAAAAGCAGCAGGUUAAUACCCCGCUGUUCUGACGGUACCCAAAGAAUAAGCACCGGCUAACUUCGUG